CGGUCAGUAGGUUGGUCGUGCCACCGGUACGUACUGGUCUCACUGAUUCCUCCUUCCUGAAGAACCGUAAUGCCAUUAAUUUGGUGUUGCGGGGAAACAGGACUGUUACUUUGAAAAAAUUAGAGUGUUUAAAGCAAGCUAACGCUUGAAUACAUUAGCAUGGAAUAAUGAAAUAGGACGAUCGAUCCUAUUUUCUUGGUUUCUAGGAUUGACGUA
rnacentral:rRNA from 1 species